GGCCAGGAAACACAGCACCUGGGACACCACUGUGAGCAGGGCCUGGAACAGGCUGUGUGGGAGCAGAAUCCAGGUGGGCUUGCGGGCCACUUGGCUCCCUGAGCCCCCACUGGCCUAUGCUGACCAAGGUCCUGACCUCCAUCUUAGGCAAGACAUUUAACCUCUGUGGGCCUCAGUUCCCUCCCACUGUAAAAUGGGCAUAAUAAUAAUGAUGCCUGACUCAUAGAGUGUUUUCAAGGACUAAGUGAAACAGGUAUGUGCCGAGGCCUAGUAAAUGUCACUAUCACCAUCUACAGUGAUGGGAGCACAAGGGGCCCCAGGCUGGACGGCAGCCCAGACUCCUGGGACUGGCCUGUACACAGAUCCCGACUUCCUGGGCCCCGUGUCCUCGCCUCUAAAGCCAACCUGGUGCCUUCUGCCACAACUGCCCCUUCCAGACCUCAGAGACAGUUGAGAGAAGGAGGAGUGAGAACCCACGUACAAGAGGAUUUCAAAGUAGCUGUCUAUGAACGAGAUCCAGAUGAACACGUGGCGCCGCCAGAAGUACCACAGCUGCGGAGGAAGGGAGGACAGAGGGCUGUGAAACCUGCUCUCCCGCAUGCCCCCUGCUGGCCUGGCUGAGUGGGAGCCUGCCACCCAGGCUAGAGCUAAGUCAGCAGCUUUGGUUUUGGGGGACUCAUGAAUACUUCUGAUAGCUGAGAUAGCUUGGGACUUUCUUUCCAGAAAGAGCAGCCACCUAGGCAAGGCCGGGGGGUGCAGGUGAAGAGCCUGUGCACUGCAUGCAGGAAGGGGAAGAGCACCUUUCCCUUCCCUUCUCCCUGGCCUCACAGGGAGCACCCAUACCCCAGCCAACCUGCGUUUGGUGCCCAAGUUCUGCCCACUCUGCGGAGGUCCCAAUGUCUUGGUGUCCAGCCUGUGUCCUGCAGGCUUACAGCAUUUCCCACUGAAGAGGCCCUACUGGGGGAAAUAGCCUGAACCCCACCUACCUCUGGUCUCUGUGCUCCCCAAGAGGGGAGCUUCCCAGCCGAGGGGCCUGGCUAGGGGCAGGCGCUUCCAGCUCCAUUCCUGGGGGAGCAGAGUCUGUACUGCCAAGGAAUCAGAGAAGCUAUCUGCUACCCCAAGGAACCCCAAAAGCACAGCAGAGGGGUUCCUGGGGACUCAGAAGGCAAGGCCAGAACCUCUGGCCCUCAGCUUCAGUGAGGCUGGUUGCUCUGGGUGGGACUGGGUAUUGUCAGUGAGGGGAUGCAGCUAACUUUCUCUAAGCCCCCUGAAGCAGAAUUCUAGGUUUGCUUCUUGGUAGGAGAAGGGGAGGGGCACUCACCUGGCCCACGAGGAGGUAGAUCCCCCCUAGCAGGAUAAGGAUGUGGCCCGUCAGCAGCAUGGAGUUUCCAACCUCCGCUUUCAGGUGAGGGGCGGCCUGCUGAAGACACACUCAGAUGAGACCUAGGGCCUUGGGUCCUCUCUCGAACAGCUCACCCUUCAGAGCUGAAGCUGAGGGCCUACUCUGAGCCUGAGCUGUGGAGAGGCUCCUCAGAACGGCAUGGGAACAUGGGCUCCAGGGAAGGACCCCUGGAUCCUGAGAGGCACAUUGUGUAGCAUUUCAGUGUAGGGUCUGAAGCCAGACUCCCUGGAUUCAGAUUCCCUCUCCACACCACUUCCAUUCUGUGUGACCCUGGGCAAGUUACUUAACCUCUCUGUGCCUCCCUUCCCUCUACUAUAAACUGGGGGUGAUUAUAAUUCACCAUCUCAAGGGUUUUGGGGCACAUUAAUUAGUCAACACAUGUCCAUCACCUAGAAUCCUUUUUCACAUACAGUGAGCACUCAGCAAAUCUUCACUGUAUCACCGUUAGUACUGCAGUGCUGGCUCCCAUAAGCUUGGGAAUGUCACUCCAGCAGCCCAUGCCUCAGCACUAUUACUGCCCCAUCUUCCCCCAGGGUUGUUUCAAGCAGGCCUCCCCCAAGAUGUGCCCCCCCAAACCUCACGCCCUUGCCUUCUUCAGGGUAGGCUGAUGGUAGGCAACAGCGGUGAAGAUGAACAUGUAGAUCAGAUUACACAGGAAGUUUAAGAAGAACUUGGGGAUGAGCAGAUCCCAUUUCGCCUGCAGCAGUUUGUUCAGGGGCUCCAAAACGACCAUUCGGUGUCGGUGCUGGGGUGGGGAGGGGAGAGCCAUGGGUACACUCAACAAGUGCAAAUAGGCUGCCCACUCCAUGUCAAGAUCAAAGCAAGGGCCCAGGAAAUGAGGAGAGAGGACAGGGAGCAGGCUUCCACACCCCAGGAGCCCCAAAGGACCUCACGCCAACCCUCCCAGCUACAGUGUGACUAAGGGGCUUGCCCUCCAAAUGAGAUGCUGGUUAACAGAGAGGACCCGGAUGGUUGCCACGAGGCCCUUGGCAUGAUCCCCGUCUUGGAUGGGACUAGAGUAUGGAUUGAGUAUGGGCCCGGUGGCCAUGGUCAGGGUCGUGCCUGCUGGGACAUGCAGCCACACCCCCACUGGCACAGGAAUGGGGCAGAUAUGGUCCAGCAGGCAGCCCCAAUUUGUGGACCUUGCUGGAAACUCUGCUGGGUCCUCUGCGUGCACCCAUGCUCCUGUGGGCUCACCGGGCUCUUGCAAUGAAAGGCAAUGAUCUCCAGCACUGAGUUCUCCUCACAGCUGUCCACAGAAGCCAGGUCAUACAGCGACACCCGGACAGGCCCAUAGCACCACUCGGUGAACUUUCGGGAAAGGUGGCUCAGUCCUGAAAACUCCCGCUGCAGGAUGUGCCUGAAAAUCUGCAGGGUGGCCAUAUGAGCUUGCAUUCAUGGUCCCUUCCUGGCACUGAUCCUGGGCCAAGGCUGGGAAACACCCAGGACUCAGCAGCUGCCCACGGUCUGCAGAGCUGCAGCUGACACGUGCACGUACCCCCAUACACGCAGGUCCUUGUUUGUCUAAACUCUUAAACACACACACGCACCCAGCCACAUCUGCCCCAGCCUGCCAGCCAGCCUGGCUCUUCCUUCCCCUCCCCUGCCCUGUGGCCUUCCUUGAACUCCUCAAAUGGCAGAUUGAUCCCUAGCCCUGGGGUCCUUGAGGCCCCUGAGAUCAGAGUCUACUAGCUGUAUCUGUGUGUGCACUUUCGCGGUCAGAAUCUAGAAUUUUCAACAGACUAGAAAGUGGUCCCUAAUCCAAACAGGUUAGGAAGCAGUCUGGUUUCACGCGUGAGGAAUGGGAAAGGAGGAACAGAUCAGGACACUGCUUUCAUAGGCCACACAGCAGUGCCUCUAGACAAGAAAGUGAGGUUCACACACCCCAGGGAGCACUCCAAAAAACUUGGGAGGGCAGCGAAAAAGGGUUAAAACUUCUAUUUAUGUUUAUCGUUUCCUUAAUCUUUCAAAAAUCUCCACUGUAAGCCCAUGAGGCCAGCCCUGGUGAGCUAUUGGCAAAAGCUAUUUGGAACAGGCCAUUGGUAAGCUAUCUGGAACAAAGUGGGGGCUGCCUCAUGUUUACUCUUCCUACCAGAAUAACUUCCAGCUAGUCAAAGCUCUAGGCAUUAAAAAUGCAGCUGCAGGCUGGGCGUUUCGGCUCAUGCCUGUAAUCUCAGCACUUUGGGAGGCUGAGGCAGGUGGAUCACCAGAGGUCGGGAGUUUGAGACCAGCCUGACCAACAUGGAGAAACCCCGUCUCUACUAAAAAUACAAAAUUAGCCGGGCGUGGUGGCACAUGCCUGUAAUCCCAGCUACUCGGGAGGCUGAGGCAAGAGAAUCGCUUGAACUCCGGAGGCGGAGGUUGCAGUUAGCCGAGAUCGCGCCAUUGUACUCCAGCCUGGGCAACAAGAGCGAAACUCCAUCUC
rnacentral:lncRNA from 1 species